rnacentral:rRNA from 1 species
AACGUAGGAGGCGAGCGUUAUCCGGAUUUACUGGGCGUAAAGGGCAAGUAGGCGGCAGCAAAAGUUGGGCGUGACAGCUCCCGGCUUAACUGGGAGAGGUCGUCCAAAACUAGGCAGCUAGAGGGCAGGAGAGGGAAGUAGAAUUCCUAGUGUAGCGGUGGAAUGCUCAGAUACUAGGAGGAAUACCAGUGGCGAAGGCGACUUCCUGGCCUGUACCUGACGCUGAGAGGCGAAAGCUAGGGUAGCGAACGGGCUUAGAUACCCCGGUAGUCCUAGCUGUAAACGGUGGAUACUGGGUAUUGGGGGUGAAAAAUCUCUCAGUGCCGAAGCCAACGCGUUAAGUAUCCCGCCUGGGGACUACGACCGCAAGGUUAAA